AAAGACCAAGAGAUAUAUCCAAAUGUCCUAAUCUUAUUAGAUUUCUAUUUCCUUUAAGAAACUUAUCAAUAUCAAUAUCAAUCCCACAUAAUAUGGGAAUUUCCUUAUGUGGGUGAUUGUGGAUAUCACCAUAUCCAACAGGACGUACUUUUUCCCUGAAAUCUUCAGCUGAGCAUAACUUUGUAACUGAAUUAUACGCCAUCUGAUCUCAUGUCUGUGUAAGGACAUUGUGUCAUGAAAAAUAACUUAAAGAGGACUAACAAUUUUACUAAUAUCUUGUUAUGAAAUGACCUUGUGGGGAGUAGUGGCCGUGGUACAUUUCUGGGCUAUUGUUAAUUUUAAAAGUCUAGUUUACAUGGAUACCAUCUGUGUUUGAAUGCUUGUGCUUCUAAGGCUCUUGUUCUCUGGUUGUUUUUGCUCAAUGAAGUUUGUAGGAUGAAAUUGUUACACACAUGCACACACUGUUGGGCAGUGCAUGGUUAUAUUUAUGGGACUUGGAUCAAACCACUGGUGAGGAUUUCCAGUUAAAUUUGCGCAGACAAUAAAGUUAAGCAUUCAAAGAUUUGGAGCCCACUGCCUUGCCCUCAUUCAAAUGUUUCAGAUUCUGGGUUGGCAUGUUUGAAUGGUUUUGCACGAAUACAUAUCCAGUCUGAUGUUGUAUGGUUUUAUAACUAGGGAACUACCUUGGCAAGUCCUCCAACUCUUUGGCUUAACUCACUUGCCAUGAACCAGCGAGCCAAGGCUUCUGUUUAUAAUGUUAAUUUGUAGUUCUGGUCUGGCUUCGAGUUUAAGAGAACAUGGUACCAACCAGGCUACUUGGCAAAUGCAUUAGUGGUUGAUUUUGGCGGGCCUUUUAUUUAAAUUUUGAAGAUUAGCUUAAAGCUUUAAUUAUGAGGGUCAGCAAUUACUGCAAAUUGAAAAUGGUUUUGAGUUGUAGCAAGAAAAUUAGUCCUUCGGGAAGUAGACAGGAUGAUUGAGGUGAGUAGAUGUUUACUUUUUUUAGAUCCUAAAUCCUUGCCAUAUACUGGUUUUGCCAAUUAUCUAUGUCACAACUCUGUGUAGAUGCUUAUGUUUAUUGGGGCGGUUAUGUAGUUUUGUAGAUUUCUGAAAACUACAGAUAUUCACUGAAAUUGUUUAAUCAAGCUAAAUUAGGUUAAAUUCGUGUAAAAAAGGUACUAGCACAGCCAUGUAGCUACUACAAGUAAAGGACUUGAGCUACCAGAUACAAUAUUUGGGUGAUGCCUUUCCCAAACAAAAAUUUGGUAGGUUUGAAGGUGAUUAGUGUGAGCUGUGGCAUCAUCUCGUUCAUGUGAGUGUCUCUGCAUGUCGCAGUCUCGUGUCUUGGAACAUGUUGCCACAGAUCAGGAAGGUAGGAAAAGAGGAGAGAGUAGCAGAAUUGCAUUGGAAAAGAGAAAAGCGGCUAAAAUGGGUUCCUUUUAAGGUGUACCAUGGGCUUGGUUGGUUGCUUUAAAAUGUGAAGUGUUCGGUCGAUUCUUACUUCACAAUAUUUUUGUUAUGCAGUGUCCUAGUCACUGUUUCUUUCUGCUGCAAUUGAAGAGCCAUUGUCAUAUUCUCUCUCUCUCUCUCUGUGCAACUAUAAUAUUCUUUUCUUUCAAAUAUUAACAAUAUUCAUAUAAAACAGAAGAAAUUAAAAGAAGAUGGGGCACUGUUGUGCCUGUCACAGUUUUAGUUUAGGCAGAUGCAUCUGGUGUCGACAGUUUAUAGGCAAACCAAGACGUUUGAUAAAAUACUUGAUCAUGGUCAUAACGAGUCAUCACCGUCCAAUCAAUAAGAUUAACGAUGAAGAAUGGGUCCCCAAAAACAUUUCAAUAUUUCAGUUGCACAUACACCCUGUCAUUCAACCUUGCGACCAUACUGUCAUGAUGAUCAU
rnacentral:lncRNA from 1 species